GAUCAUGGCUCAGGAUGAACGCUAGCUACAGGCUUAACACAUGCAAGUCGAGGGGAAACGACAUCGAAGGCUUGCUUUUGAUGGGCGUCGACCGGCGCACGGGUGAGUAACGCGUAUCCAACCUGCCCACCACUUGGGGAUAACCUUGCGAAAGUAAGACUAAUACCCAAUGAUAUCCCACGAAGGCAUCCGAAUGGGAUUAAAGAUUUAUCGGUGAUGGAUGGGGAUGCGUCUGAUUAG
rnacentral:rRNA from 1 species